rnacentral:rRNA from 1 species
CGCGUAUGCAAUCUACCUGUAACUGGGGAAUAGCCUUCCGAAAGGAAGAUUAAAACCGCAUAAUAUCACGAAGCGGCAUCGUUUUGUGAUCAAAUCUCCGGAGGUUACAGAUGAGCAUGCGUGACAUUAGCUAGUUGGUGAGGUAACGGCCCACCAAGGCUACGAUGUCUAGGGGGUCUGAGAGGAUGACCCCCCACACUGGUACUGAGACACGGACCAG